UACAGAGGGGGCAAGCGUUGUUCGGAAUUACUGGGCGUAAAGGGCGCGUAGGCGGUCUGCUAAGUCGAACGUGAAAUCCCCGGGCUCAACUCGGGAACUGCGUCCGAUACUGGCAGGCUUGAAUGCGGGAGAGGGAUGUGGAAUUCCAGGUGUAGCGGUGAAAUGCGUAGAUAUCUGGAGGAACACCGGUGGCGAAGGCGGCAUCCUGGACCGGUAUUGACGCUGAUGCGCGAAAGCCGGGGGAGCAAACGGG
rnacentral:rRNA from 1 species